AUCACCUUUAGAUGCGAUUUUGUGGAGUGUGAGGAGCUAAUCGCCUUCAUACCUGUAUAUUCGUGUACUUGGGGUGUACUUAUUCGCGGGGUAAGUUAACAUCAAUUUUGGUGGUCAUAAAAUGACUGGAGGAAUGUAGCUUCGAUCUCGUAUUGAAGUGUUAUAGCCUUCGGUAGAUGUGAUGAUCGAGAUUGAGGAUUGCAACGGAUACCCUUCGGGGCUACCUGUCUGGUCUCUGAUCGUUGCUCUGGUGCCGAAAGCUUGCUUACGGUUAUCAAAGUCGAUGGUCAAUAGGUUAGAACGGGUUAAAUUCGUUAAGGAUGUUGACGUAAUGGCUUU
rnacentral:rRNA from 1 species